GGAUGUGUAUUGCACAAGAAAGGAAGGAAGGAAGGAAGCGAACGAUAAUGAUUUCCUAAUCACGUACUAUACACACAGCAGUUUCCUACCUUGUUGUUAUUUUCAAAUCACGUAGACUCACGUAAAAACAUACAAAUCUAUAAAUGUCGUAGAUCAUCGCAAGUACAUCGCACUCGUAUUCUUCCGUUUUGUGAUUAAACGCUGAUACGAAGUUUACGUAUGCGCAGCUGAGUCCGAUUAAUCGAGAAGGGAAGAACCUGGCCAUAGUCGUAGAACUCGUCGUUUAUUGAAGCAAAAGAAAUAAGAAAUAAAAGGAAAAGAUUAGAAAAAAAUGUAAAAGAAACAUGUCGUUGACAUGUCGUUAGAUCAGAAAAUUGAAAACCAUCAUCCUAGUUUUUGGUCACACUCUUAUCGUAAUAUUUUCCAUGGGGAAAAAAUGAACAUUCUCUUUCUCUUUUCGAUGAAUUUUCUAUGCGUUUCUUCUUAUCCAUCUUAGAAUUGAUAACGUAUAUUUUUUGGGAGAAUCUCGAAGAAGAUACACGCAAAGUGUGUCUAUAUUCCAGACGUAAUUGGGGUAUAGUAAGAUAUUUACUAAGGACAUUUAAAUAAAAAAUAAAAAAAAACCUACUAUCGUGAUAGAUAGUACGAAUGUAUAGAACAACGAGACUAAAAGAUGUUGAAGACGUCGAUUUGGACAUGGGAUAGAUGAUAGAACCGAUGUUUAUACCAUGCCGUAGAACAGAUGAGUUAAGCAGAAUGGAUUGGACGUAUGGACUCGGGAGGACCCUCCUGAGGACUCUAUCACGGUGAACGAAUUCCUAAAACGCAAGACUGCAACUACGUCAUCGUACAGUCUUUUUUUCCCAACGUGUACGAAAAAGACUGAAAAUAUCUAUCAUCAAAAAUAUAUUUAAAUAUACGCGUGAAAUAGUUACUCCAUCUACUAAAUUAAAAAACGAUACGAAAUCAAGAAGAACAAGAAGAACAUUGUAAGAAGCCAAAAAUCAAGGAGAAGAUAAAAAAGAAAUCAUUAGAGAGGAUGUUUUGUCGAGCAGCGAAAAGACUGAUUUGAUAAAAUUCGCGUUCCGAUCUUUAUUUUCUAUUUUAUUUCCUUUUCUUUUUUUUUCAAAGUUAUUAUCGACGAGUCACAUAUCUUCUUGAGAGUUCCCCCAAGGUUCUUCAUUUUUCUUUUCAAUAUUUUUUCUUAUUUUUCUACACGUACACGUACACGUACACGUACACGUACCCCGUAUAUAUACAAACAUAUAAACAAAACUAUACAUAUUUCUCUUCCAAUCGCGUUGUCCUUGCGGCGUCGUCGUCGUCGUCGUCGUCGUCGUCGUGACGUUUUGCACUCUGAACAGGCGGGUUUUGCAAG
rnacentral:lncRNA from 1 species